GAUGAACGCUGGCGGCGUGCCUAAUACAUGCAAGUCGAGCGAACAGACGAGGAGCUUGCUCCUCUGACUUUAGCGGCGGACGGGUGAGUAACACGUGGAUAACCUACCUAUAAGACUGUUAUACCUUCGGGAAACCGGAGCUAAUACCGGAUAAUAUAUUGAACCUCAUGGUUCACUAGUGAAAUACGUUUUUUCUGUCACUUAUAGGUGGAUCCGCGCCGCAUUCGCUAGUUGGUAAGGUAACGGCUUACCAAGGCGACGAUGCGUAGCCGACCUGAGAGGGUGAUCGGCCACCCGGGAACUGAGAAACGGCACAGACUCCUACGGGAGGACGCAGUAGGGAAUCUUACGCAAGGGGGGAGAGGCUGACGGAGCAACGCCGCGUAAGUGAUGACGGUCCUCGGAUCGGAAAAUUAUGUUAUUAGGGAAGAACAAAUGUGCAAGUAACUAUGCACGUCUUGACGGUACCUAAUCAGAAAGCCACGGCUAACUACGUG
rnacentral:rRNA from 1 species